AUUGAACGCUGGCGGCAGGCCUAACACAUGCAAGUCGAGCGAGCGGCGGACGGGUGAGUAAGGUCUGGGAAACUGCCUGAUGGAGGGGGAUCACUACGGGAAACGGUAGCUAAUCCCGCCUACCAUCAGAUUUGCCCAGAUGGGAUUAGCUAGUAGGUGGGGUAACGGCUCACCUGGGCGACGAUCCCUAGCUGGUCUGAGAGGAUGACCAGCCAAACUGGAACUGAGACACGGUCCAGACUCCUACGGGAGGCAGCAGUGGGGAAUAUUGCACAAUGGGCGAAAGCCGGAUGCAGCCAUGCCGCGUGUGUGAAGAAGGCCUUCGGGUUGUAAAGCACUUUCAGCGGGGAGGCGUUACCCGCAGAGGAAGCACCGGCUAACUCCGUGCCAGCAGCCGCGGUAAUAC
rnacentral:rRNA from 1 species